rnacentral:rRNA from 1 species
GAUGAACGCUGGCGGCGUGCCUAAUGCUUGCAAGUCGAGCGACGCAUAUCGAAGGGGUAACCCACUGGUAUGACGGAGCGGCGAACGGGUGAGUAACACGUGAGUAACCUGCCCCACAAAUCGGGAUAGCCCAGGGAAACCUGGAUUAAUACCGGAUAUUCUCUUCUAACUUCAUGGUCUGAAAAGGAAAUGCCUUUGUGCUGUGGGAUGGACUCGCGGCUUAUCAGCUAGUUGGUGGGGUAACGGCCUACCAAGGCAUCAACAAGUAGCUGGUCUGAGAGGACAAUCAGCCACACUGGGACUGAAACACGGCCCAAACUCCUACGGGAGGCAGCAGCAGGGAAUCUUGCACAAUGGGCGAAAGCCUGAUGCAGCAACGCCGCGUGUGGAAUGAAGGCCUUCGGGUUGUAAACCACUUUCAGGAGGGAAGAAAUUGACGGUACCUCCAAAAAAAGGUCCGGCCAACUACGUG